rnacentral:lncRNA from 1 species
GGGCGUCGGAAAGCGGCCUUCUGGGACUCCGCAAACUCCCGUUCUCCCUCCCCCCUCCCCCUUGCCAUUCCCUUUGCCUUCCGGGCGCCAAGUCUCUCUGGCCUCCAAGGUGAACCCAACUCCCCAGCGCGCCCCGGGUUCCCGGGUCGGGCCGGCUUCAGGCGGUGGGGAGCGGGAUCCCGGGCCCCGGGCGGGCGGGAGGGACGGGACGCGGUGCAGUGUUGUUUUUUCCCCCGCCAAUAUUGCACUCGUCCCGGCCUCCGGCCCCCCCGGCCCCCCGGCCUCCCCGCUACCCCUAGCGGGGCAGCCCCCGCCCUCCUGGCUCUCCAUCCCGGCGGAUCUUUGAUAGACUGGAGUGUCGCCGCUGCCACCACGGGAAAAUGGGUCAUGGAGGAGUGACUUCACCAACAUCACUCAUAGGUGCUUGUGUCCGUGGUGAGAAGGGUGAUGGAGAGAAGUGGCUGCAGUUCCCACCCAUGGAGAGGUCACUGGUGAAUCCCAGCUAAAGAGGAAGGACAGGCCCGGCCUGAGUCCCACAGGUUGGUGAAAGUCCCGAACUUUGUCUCCCCACCCAGAGGACAACUGGCCAGGAAAUCUGCCUGUUUCUUGUCUCACCCUCUAGUCCACACUCUGCCUAACACUACGCCCUACCUCACAUUCCUAUUGACAUCUGCUGCAGAUCACACCCUUGUGAUGGACAAACUGCUCAGUACAGUCCCACCCACCCAGCCUCCUUGUCCUGGGCACGAGGUUUUUGCCUCCCUGAUUUGGAGUAUUUGGCCCUUACUAGAGAGCUGCCAGAUGAGGGACAUUUCCUUCACCUGGAGAAGGAUGGGGAGGAGUCAGCACUUGACAUCUGCCACCCUACCCCAGAAUCAGUGCCACCCUUCGCCAGCCCACCCAAACCUGGUCUCGUAUAUCAUCCCGCAGCUCCACCAGGAUCUGGUUGAAGAGGAACUCAGAGGCUCCUCCCGGCUCACCUGCAUCCUCAAAUACGCCUUCUGUCCAGUCCUAAUCUCCAGCCCAUCGACCUCCGCUGGAGGAAUGGGGGCCAGUGCUGGAAGGCCUGCAUGUUGGUCACCCAGUUUGCAGUCCACGUAGAGAUGUAGGGCAGGGCUGGGUCUGGAGGGACCUCGGAGUCGCAGGAGAACUGUGUGUGUGCGCCCAUCAGCCAGGCCCGCUUGCUGUAGGUUCACGGCGUGGACUUUGCCAUCCUCCCGCUGGUAUCGCACCAGUACUGCCCAGGAGGGGAGAUCAGUAUGGGCGCUAUCCCCCACCCCCUGCCUCCCAGCUGAGCCUUGGAUCAACUCUGCUAGAUACCACAUCUCUAGGGCCCCUAUCCCUAAUUCUACUAUGUGGCUCUCAACACCUUGUAUUUAAUAGGUACACAAUAAAUGUUUUUGAAAUUG